rnacentral:rRNA from 1 species
UACGAAGGGUGCAAGCGUUAAUCGGAAUUACUGGGCGUAAAGCGUGCGUAGGCGGUUUGUUAAGUCUGUUGUGAAAUCCCCGGGCUCAACCUGGGAAUGGCAAUGGAUACUGGCAGGCUAGAGUGUGUCAGAGGAUGGUGGAAUUCCCGGUGUAGCGGUGAAAUGCGUAGAGAUCGGGAGGAACAUCAGUGGCGAAGGCGGCCAUCUGGGACAACACUGACGCUGAAGCACGAAAGCGUGGGGAGCAAACAGG